GGAAGGAUGUCAGAGCGGCCGAAUGAGUACACUUGGAAAGUGUGUGUACCUUUGGGUACCGUGGGUUCGAAUCCCACUCCUUCCACCA
rnacentral:tRNA from 1 species